CCAGAUCCCUCGUGCGGCAUUAUCGUGCUGAACUCCCCCAGGGCUGGAAGGCAGCAAGGGUAGGUGCGCUCUAUUGGGUGCACGAGGGGUCCUUUUA
rnacentral:SRP_RNA from 1 species